GAUGAACGCUGGCGGCGUGCCUAAUACAUGCAAGUCGAGCGAACAGACGAGGAGCUUGCUCCUCUGACGUUAGCGGCGGACGGGUGAGUAACACGUGGAUAACCUACCUAUAAGACUGGGAUAACUUCGGGAAACCGGAGCUAAUACCGGAUAAUAUAUUGAACCGCAUGGUUCAAUAGUGAAAGACGGUUUUGCUGUCACUUAUAGAUGGAUCCGCGCCGCAUUAGCUAGUUGGUAAGGUAACGGCUUACCAAGGCAACGAUGCGUAGCCGACCUGAGAGGGUGAUCGGCCACACUGGAACUGAGACACGGUCCAGACUCCUACGGGAGGCAGCAGUAGGGAAUCUUCCGCAAAUGGCGAAAGCCUGACGGAGCAACGCCGCGUGAGUGAUGAAGGUCUUCGGAUCGUAAAACUCUGUUAUUAGGGAAGAACAAAUGUGUAAGUAACUAUGCACGUCUUGACGGUACCUAAUCAGAAAGCCACGGCUAACUACGUG
rnacentral:rRNA from 1 species